rnacentral:rRNA from 1 species
UACGUAGGGUGCGAGCGUUAAUCGGAAUUACUGGGCGUAAAGCGUGCGCAGGCGGUUAUGCAAGACAGAUGUGAAAUCCCCGGGCCUAACCUGGGAACUGCAUUUGUGACUGCAUAGCUAGAGUUUGUCAGAGGGGGGUGGAAUUCCACGUGUAGCAGUGAAAUGCGUAGAUAUGUGGAGGAACACCGAUGGCGAAGGCAGCCCCCUGGGAUGUGACUGACGCUCAUGUACGAAAGCGUGGGGAGCAAACAGG